UAGGGAAUCUUCGGCAAUGGACGAAAGUCUGACCGAGCAACGCCGCGUGAGUGAAGAAGGUUUUCGGAUCGUAAAACUCUGUUGUCAGAGAAGAACAGGGAUAAGAGUAACUGUUUAUCCCGUGACGGUAUCUGACCAGAAAGCCACGGCUAACUACGUGCCAGCAGCCGCGGUAAUACGUAGGUGGCAAGCGUUGUCCGGAUUUAUUGGGCGUAAAGCGAGCGCAGGCGGUCUUUUAAGUCUGAUGUGAAAGCCCCCGGCUUA
rnacentral:rRNA from 1 species